rnacentral:rRNA from 1 species
AUACGUAGGUGGCAAGCGUUGUCCGGAUUUAUUGGGCGUAAAGCGAGCGCAGGCGGAAUGAUAAGUCUGAUGUGAAAGCCCACGGCUCAACCGUGGAACUGCAUCGGAAACUGUCAUUCUUGAGUGCAGAAGAGGAGAGUGGAACUCCAUGUGUAGCGGUGGAAUGCGUAGAUAUAUGGAAGAACACCAGUGGCGAAGGCGGCUCUCUGGUCUGCAACUGACGCUGAGGCUCGAAAGCAUGGGUAGCGAACAGGAUUAGAUACCCUGGUAGUCCAUGCCGUAAACGAUGAGCGCUAGGUGUUGGGGACUUUCCGGUUCUCAGUGCCGCAGCAAACGCAUUAAGCGCUCCGCCUGGGGAGUACGACCGCAAGGUUGAA